ACACAUGCAAGUCGAGGGGAAACGACAUCGAAAGCUUGCUUUUGAUGGGCGUCGACCGGCGCACGGGUGAGUAACGCGUAUCCAACCUGCCCACCACUUGGGGAUAACCUUGCGAAAGUAAGACUAAUACCCAAUGAUAUCUCUAGAAGACAUCUGAAAGAGAUUAAAGAUUUAUCGGUGAUGGAUGGGGAUGCGUCUGAUUAGCUUGUUGGCGGGGUAACGGCCCACCAAGGCGACGAUCAGUAGGGGUUCUGAGAGGAAGGUCCCCCACAUUGGAACUGAGACACGGUCCAAACUCCUACGGGAGUUUUUUAGUGAGGAAUAUUGGUCAAUGGGCGAGAGCCUGAACCAGCCAAGUAGCGUGCAGGAUGACGGCCCUAUGGGUUGUAAACUGCUUUUAUAAGGGAAUAAAGUGAGUCUCGUGAGACUUUUUGCAUGUACCUUAUGAAUAAGGACCGGCUAAUUCCGUGCCAGCAGCCGCGGUAAUACGGAAGGUCCGGGCGUUAUCCGGAUUUAUUGGGUUUAAAGGGAGCGUAGGCCGGAGAUUAAGCGUGUUGUGAAAUGUAGACGCUCAACGUCUGCACUGCAGCGCGAACUGGUUUCCUUGAGUACGCACAAAGUGGGCGGAAUUCGUGGUGUAGCGGUGAAAUGCUUAGAUAUCACGAAGAACUCCGAUUGCGAAGGCAGCUCACUGGAGCGCAACUGACGCUGAAGCUCGAAAGUGCGGGUAUCGAACAGGAUUAGAUACCCUGGUAGUCCGCACGGUAAACGAUGGAUG
rnacentral:rRNA from 1 species